rnacentral:rRNA from 1 species
AGUGGCGGACGGGUGAGUAACGCGUGGGUAACCUGCCUCACACUGGGGGAUAACACUUAGAAAUAGGUGCUAAUACCGCAUAAGCGCACGGGACUGCAUGGUCUUGUGUGAAAAACUCCGGUGGUGUGAGAUGGACCCGCGUCUGAUUAGCUGGUUGGCGGGGUAACGGCCCACCAAGGCGACGAUCAGUAGCCGGCCUGAGAGGGUGAACGGCCACAUUGGGACUGAGACACGGCCCAAACUCCUACGGAAGGCAGCAG